rnacentral:pre_miRNA from 1 species
AAUAAGCGCAGCCAUAAGUUUUCAUGUCCAACUUUGAUCGUCCGUCUUAUUUAAAUUUUUUUUAUGAUUACUAUUUUUUUAUUAGAUUGUAAAACAUGAAUAAUACUUUAUGCGUUACUUAUGUUUUUUUAGUUUUUUUAAAAAAAAUUAAAAUAAGAUGAACGAUUAAAGAUACUUUAUGCGUUACUUAUG